UACAGAGGGCGCAAACGUUGCUCGGAAUUACUGGGCGUAAAGCGUGCGUAGGCGGGUGGAUAAGUCGGGUGUGAAAUCCCUGGGCUCAACCCAGGAACUGCAUUCGAAACUGUCCAUCUAGAGUACCGGAGAGGAAAGCGGAAUUCUUGGUGUAGAGGUGAAAUUCGUAGAUAUCAGGAGGAACACCAGUGGCGAAGGCGGCUUUCUGGACGGUUACUGACGCUCAGACACGAAAGCGUGGGGAGCAAACAGG
rnacentral:rRNA from 1 species